rnacentral:miRNA from 1 species
GACGUCGAUAUUCGACGUCAUAAACACCAUCAAGUUUGGUGUUUAUGACGUCGAUAUUCGACGUCAUAAACACCAUCAAGUUUGGUGUUUAUGACGUCGAUAUUCGACGUCAUAAACACCAUCAAGUUUGGUGUUUAUGACGUCGAUAUUCGACAUCAUAAACACCAUCAAGUUUGGUGUUUAUGACGUCGAUAUUCGACGUCAUAAACACCAUCAAGUUUGGUGUUUAUGACGUCGAAUAUCGACGUC